AACCUACGGGGGGCAGCAGUGGGGAAUAUUGCACAAUGGGGGAAACCCUGAUGCAGCGACGCCGCGUGAGUGAAGAAGUGAUUCGUCACGUAAAGCUCUAUCAGCAGGAAAGAAAAUGACGGUACCUGACUAAGAAGCCCCGGCUAACUACGUGCCAGCAGCCGCGGUAAUACGUAGGGGGCAAGCGUUAUCCGGAUUUACUGGGUGUAAAGGGAGCGUAGACGGCAGGGCAAGUCUGAAGUGAAAGCCCGGGGCCCAACCCCGGGCCUGCUUUGGAAACUACCGAACUAGAGUGUCGGCGAGGG
rnacentral:rRNA from 1 species